CGCCUGGGGAGUGCGGCCGCAAGGUUAAAACUCAAAUGAAUUGACGGGGGCCCGCACAAGCGGUGGAGCAUGUGGUUUAAUUCGACGCAACGCGAAGAACCUUACCUGGCCUUGACAUGCAGAGAACUUUCCAGAGAUGGAUUGGUGCCUUCGGGAACUCUGACACAGGUGCUGCAUGGCCGUCGUCAGCUCGUGUCGUGAGAUGUUGGGUUAAGUCCCGUAACGAGCGCAACCCCUAUCCCUAGUUGCUAGCAGUUCGGCUGAGAACUCUAGGGAGACUGCCGGUGACAAACCGAAGGAAGGUGGGGAUGACGUCAGGUCAUCAUGGCCCUUACGGCCAGGGCUACACACGUGCUACAAUGGCGCGCACAGAGGGCUGCAAACCCGCGAGGGGGAGCCAAUCUCACAAAACGCGUCGUAGUCCGGAUCGCAGUCUGCAACUCGACUGCGUGAAGUCGGAAUCGCUAGUAAUCGUGAAUCAGAAUGUCACGGUGAAUACGUUCCCGGGCCUUGUACACACCGCCCGUCACACCAUGGGAGUGGAUUGCACCAGAAGUGGUUAGUCUAACCUACGGGAGGACGAUCACCACGGUGUGGUUCAUGACUGGGGUGAAGUCGUAACAAGGUAACCGUA
rnacentral:rRNA from 1 species